CCAGACAGCCAGGAUGUUGGCUUAGAAGCAGCCAUCAUUUAAAGAAAGCGUAAUAGCUCACUGGUCGAGUCGGCCUGCGCGGAAGAUGUAACGGGGCUAAACCAUGCACCGAAGCUGCGGCAGCGACGCUUAUGCGUUGUUGGGUAGGGGAGCGUUCUGUAAGCCUGCGAAGGUGUACUGUGAGGUAUGCUGGAGGUAUCAGAAGUGCGAAUGCUGACAUAAGUAACGAUAAAGCGGGUGAAAAGCCCGCUCGCCGGAAGACCAAGGGUUCCUGUCCAACGUUAAUCGGGGCAGGGUGAGUCGACCCCUAAGGC
rnacentral:rRNA from 1 species